CGCGUAGGGCGCGAGCGUUGUCCGGAAUUAUUGGGCGUAAAGAGCUCGUAGGCGGCCUGUUGCGUCCGCUGUGAAAGCCCGGGGCUUAACCCCGGGUCUGCAGUGGAUACGGGCAGGCUAGAGGUAGGUAGGGGAGAAUGGAAUUCCCGGUGUAGCGGUGAAAUGCGCAGAUAUCGGGAGGAACACCGGUGGCGAAGGCGGUUCUCUGGGCCUUACCUGACGCUGAGGAGCGAAAGCGUGGGGAGCGAACAGG
rnacentral:rRNA from 1 species